GUUUAUUAUAAAGCUGAAAUGCCUACUCUAGACUAUAAUACAUUGUGAUCAUUAAAGUAUUACCAAUGGCAAUCACAGUAUUUUGUAAAAAGUCUGCUUGAUAAAUAUUCUUUGAAUUAAUUUUUUUUUUUGAGACAGAGUCUUGCACUGUCGCCCUGGCUGGAGUGCAAUGAUACAAUCUCCACUCACUGCAACCUCUGCCUUCCACAUUCAAGCAAUUCUCCUGCCUCAGCCUCCUGAGUAGCUGGGAUUAUAGGCGCCCCCACCACGCCUGGUGGGAUGCAGACAGAUCGGUGAGGCAUGUUGCAAAACACCAGCAAGAGAUCCAGGGCUCACUCCUGGGGCUGACUCUGAUUAGACCCUUGCUGACCACAGUUCAAGUAGAUGAAAAGGAUAUGCCUCUGGGGACCCAAAUCUUGGGAUACAGCUGAGUGAAAAGCCGUUUGGAGUUUAUACCUACCUAUGUUCUGAUGGUAUGGAAUUAUUUCAAAACCCAAUGAG
rnacentral:lncRNA from 13 species